GGAUAGCUCAAGAGGUAGAGCACAUGCUUAGCAUGCAUGAGGUCCUGGGUUCAAUCCCAGUACCUCCU
rnacentral:tRNA from 1 species